GUGUCAGCCGCCGCGGUAAUACGGAGGGUGCAAGCGUUAUCCGGAUUCACUGGGUUUAAAGGGUGCGUAGGUGGGCAGGUAAGUCAGUGGUGAAAUCCCCGAGCUUAACUUGGGAACUGCCGUUGAUACUAUCUGUCUUGAAUAUCGUGGAGGUUAGCGGAAUAUGUCAUGUAGCGGUGAAAUGCUUAGAGAUGACAUAGAACACCAAUUGCGAAGGCAGCUGGCUACACGGUAAUUGACACUGAGGCACGAAAGCGUGGGGAGCAAACAGGAUUAGAUACCCUGGUAGUCCACGCCCUAAACGAUGAUCACUCGACAUCAGCGAUACACUGUUGGUGUCUGAGCUAAAGCAUUAAGUGAUCCACCUGGGAAGUACGAUCGCAAGAUUGAA
rnacentral:rRNA from 1 species